UACGGAGGGGGCUAGCGUUGUUCGGAAUUACUGGGCGUAAAGCGCGCGUAGGCGGACCUGCAAGUCGGGGGUGAAAGCCCGAGGCUCAACCUCGGAACUGCCUUCGAUACUGCGGGUCUCGAGUCCGGGAGAGGUGAGUGGAAUUCCUAGUGUAGAGGUGAAAUUCGUAGAUAUGGGGUGGAACACCGGUGGCGAAGGCGGCCAUCUGGACGACAACUGACGCUGAGACGCGAAAGCGUGGGGAGCAAACAGG
rnacentral:rRNA from 1 species